rnacentral:rRNA from 1 species
GUGCCAGCAGCCGCGGUAAUACCGGCAGCCCGAGUGUUGGCCGAUCUUAUUGGGCCUAAAGCGUCCGUAGCCGGCCGGACAAGUCCGUUGGGAAAUCGACGCGCCUAACGCGUCGGCGUCCAGCGGAAACUGUCCGGCUUGGGGCCGGAAGAUCCGAGGGGUACGUCCGGGGUAGGAGUGAAAUCCCGUAAUCCUGGACGGACCGCCGAUGGGGAAACCACCUCAGGAAAACGGAUCCGACAGUGAGGGACGAAAGCCAGGGUCUCCAACCGGAUUAGAAACCCGUGUAGUCC